rnacentral:rRNA from 1 species
GAUGAACGCUGGCGGCGUGCCUAAUACAUGCAAGUCGAACGCGCAGCGAAAGGUGCUUGCACCUUUCAAGCGAGCGGCGAACGGGUGAGUAACACGUGGAUAACCUGCCUCAAGGCUGGGGAUAACAUUUGGAAACAGAUGCUAAUACCGAAUAAAACUUAGUAUCGCAUGAUACAAAGUUAAAAGUCGCUACGGCGUCGCCUAGAGAUGGAUCCGCGGUGCAUUAGUUAGUUGGUGGGGUAAAGGCUUACCAAGACGAUGAUGCAUAGCCGAGUUGAGAGACUGAUCGGCCACAUUGGGACUGAGACACGGCCCAAACUCCUACGGGAGGCUGCAGUAGGGAAUCUUCCACAAUGGGCGCAAGCCUGAUGGAGCAACGCCGCGUGUGUGAUGAAGGCUUUCGGGUCGUAAAGCACUGUUGUAUGGGAAGAAAUGCUAAAAUAGGGAAUGAUUUUAGUUUGACGGUACCAUACCAGAAAGGGACGGCUAAAUACGUGCCAGCAGCCGCCGUAA